rfam:Stegodyphus mimosarum contig122760, whole genome shotgun sequence.
GCCUUCAUGGUGAAGUGAUCAGCACGCUGGGCGCGUAACCGAGAGGUCCGUGGUUCGAUUCCCGGCUAGGGCA